AGCAGCCGCGGUAAUUCCAGCUCCAAUAGCGUAUAUUAAAGUUGUUGCAGUUAAAAAGCUCGUAGUUGAAUUUCGGGGUUAGUAGGUUGGUCAUGCCUCUGGUAUGUACUGGUCUCACUGAUUCCUCCUUCCUGAUGAGCCGUAAUGCCAUUAAUUUGGUGUUGCGGGGAAUCAGGACUGUUACUUUGAAAAAUUAGAGUGUUUAAAGCAGGCUCACGCUUGAAUACAUUAGCAUGGAAUAAUGAAAUAGGACGUUUGAUCCUAUUUUGUUGGUUUCUAGGAUUGACGUAAUGAUUAAUAGGGAUAGUUGGGGCAUUAGUAUUCAAUUGUCAGAGGUGAAAUUCUUGGAUUUAUUGAAGACUAACUACUGCGAAAGCAUUUGCCAAGGAUGUUUUCAUUAAUCAAGAACGAAAGUUAGGGGAUCGAAGACGAUCAGAUACCGUCGUAGUC
rnacentral:rRNA from 1 species